CGGAGGAUCAGAGCGUUAUCCGGAUUUAUUGGGUUUAAAGGGUACGCAGGCGGGGGAUUAAGUCGGCGGUGAAAUUUUGCAGCUCAACUGUAAAAGUGCCUUCGAAACUGGUUUCCUUGAGUGUGGAUGAAGUAGGCGGAAUUUGUGGUGUAGCGGUCAAAUGCAUAGAUAUCACGAGGAACUCCGAUUGCGCAGGCAGCUUACUAAACCAUAACUGACGCUGAGGCGCGAAAGCGUGGGGAUCAAACAGGAUUAGAUACCCUGGUAGU
rnacentral:rRNA from 1 species